rnacentral:rRNA from 1 species
GUGACCUCAAAUCAGGUAGGACUACCCGCUGAACUUAAGCAUAUCAAUAAGCGGAGGAAAAGAAACUAACAAGGAUUCCCCUAGUAACUGCGAGUGAAGCGGGAAAAGCUCAAAUUUAAAAUCUGUCAGUCUUUGGCUGUCCGAGUUGUAAUCUAGAGAAGUGUUAUCUGCGCUGGACCGUGUACAAGUCUCCUGGAAUGGAGCGUCAUAGAGGGUGAGAAUCCCGUCUCUGACACGGACUGCCAGGGCUUUGUGAUGCACUCUCAAAGAGUCGAGUUGUUUGGGAAUGCAGCUCAAAAUGGGUGGUAAAUUCCAUCUAAAGCUAAAUAUUGGCGAGAGACCGAUAGCGAACAAGUACCGUGAGGGAAAGAUGAAAAGAACUUUGGAAAGAGAGUUAAACAGUACGUGAAAUUGCUGAAAGGGAAACGCUUGAAGUCAGUCGCGUUGUCUAGGGAUCAACCUUGCUUUUGCUUGGUGUACUUUCUGGUUAACGGGUCAGCAUCAAUUUUGAUCAUUGGAAAAAGGUUAGGGGAAUGUGGCAUCUUUGGAUGUGUUAUAGCCCUUGAUUGUAUACAAUGGUUGGGAUUGAGGAACUCAGCAUGCCGCAAGGCCGGG